AAAGACUGCGCCCGUCACGGAGCUGAGCCUGCCAGAUCUUUAUCUAUGGAAGGAUUUCCAGGAGGAAGGAACGAGCAAAGGGGGAGAUCCUGGAAAUCCAAAGCCUCCACCGUGGCAUCUGAAGCGGAAAACAACUUUAAGUGUAAACUCUCCUCAAACAAGGAAACAGGAAGAGAGUGCAUUCAAGAUCACCAUCCCCUGAGACAUUAGAUGGUACUUCUCAGCAUCUCGGUCCUUUCUCUGGUGUCAGUUCAAAUGGGUCACCAAGUGACUGGGCUCCCACUAACAAGAACCCGGAAGCAGAGAAAAAUCGUUGCUUUAGCUCUGGCUCUGAGAACCUCAUAACCUUCCUGACAAUCAAGCCCAUCAGGAAUCUCUUGGGAACUUGGAGGCCAUCACUGGGAUAACUUGACGGACAACAAAAGGCAAGAAUCUCCCUGUGCCAGUUGACACCAGGCUAACCACCAGCUAUCUAAGUGGUGUUAUUCCAUCUAGCACCAAGCCGUUG